GGGGGUAUAGCUCAGCUGGGAGAGCAACAGACUGAAGUACGUAGCUAUUUUCGUAGUGGCGCUUCUGGAGGUCCCCAGUUCAAUCCUGGGUGUCCCCA